rnacentral:rRNA from 1 species
GAUGAACGCUGGCGGCGUGCUUAACACAUGCAAGUCGAACGAUUAAAGCUCUCUUCGGAGAGUGUAUAAAGUGGCGAACGGGUGAGUAACACGUGGGCAAUCUGCCCCUCACACUAGGAUAACCCGAGGAAACUCGAGCUAAUACCGGAUACUCCGGGAUGACCGCAUGGUCGACCCGGGAAAGCUCCGACGGUGAGGGAUGAGCCCGCGGCCCAUUAGCUUGUUGGUAGGGUAAUGGCCUACCAAGGCGACGAUGGUAGCCGACCUGAGAGGGGGAGCGGCCACACGGGGACGGGGACCCGGCCCAGCCUCCUAGGGGAGGCAGAAGUGGGGAAUCUUGCAAAAUGGGCGAAAGCCGGAUGCAGCAACGCCGCGGGGGGGAUGAAGGCCUUCGGGUUGAAAACCGCUUUCAGCAGGGAUGAGAUUGACAGUACCUGCAGAAGAAGCCCCGGCUAACUACGUGCCAGCAGCCGCCGUAA